rnacentral:rRNA from 1 species
CCCUUAGAUGUUCUGGGCGGCCCGCGCACUACAAUGGCGUGUGCAGCGAGUGCCGAAGUAGAGUUUUCCGAGGUAUUCUUGCAAUGCUCGUUUUGAUGGGGAUAGACCCUUGCAACUGUUGGUUUUGAACGAGGAAUUCCUUGUAAGCAUGGUUCAUCAUCCGACGCUGAAUGCGUCCCUGCCCUUUGUACACACCGCCCGUCGCUCCUACCGAUUGAGUGCUACGGUGAAUAAUCCGGACUGCAGCAACGUUCGGUUCCUGAAUGUUGCAGUGGACAGUUUAGUGGACCUUAUCACUUAGAGGAAGGAGAAGUCGUAACA